GCGGCGGUGCGCGCCUCCGCCGCGGCGGCGAUCCGGGCUUGCCGCCUUGCUUGAGCACAAUGUGUGUUCCACAGGGAUGAGCCCGUGAGCCUCCAGCCAGCUGAGAGGCUCAGGACUGGUUUCCCUUGAGAUUCCUGGGCUUUCCAUGAGAUCUGGCAGGGACAGCAAGACUGAGGGUGAGGAGGAAGCUCACAGAAAUUCCCAGGUUGGUGCUGCUGUGGGGGAGAGGAAGGAAUCAAAGAUAACCAGCAGAAUUUUAACCUCCAGAGACUGAUAGACUAAUGGUUGUGCUAGUACAAGUAGGGAAGUCAAGGUACUUACGCUGUGGGCUCUCGCGUCUGGUGUGUACGGCAGCCAACCGGAGAAGGGCGGUAUCCUGCCAGCUGUGGCGUUUGGAACCAUAGAAAAAAAUGAAGGACACUGGAGAAGAGAUGAUGUGAAGUGGCAAAGCGUUGGCAAACACGUAAUCUCGAAGACGCCAUGGAGAAAAGGAGCAUGGGCCCUCUCUCUGAGACCUUCUGAAACCCAGAGCCGUGUGCAGAGACUAGCCAGGAAGGAGGUGACAUGAAGGAAAUUCAGGUUGCAAUGAAUUGUGUCAGAUGGAGAGUGUCUGAGACCAGCUUAAACUCUUAGUUACUCUGCUUAUAACAGCAGGAAGUUCCAGUGGACUCCAUAGAAGAAGGAAAUCAGGGACAGAGGAACAUGGGAUGGAGAAGGUGGGCUCCUCCAGUGGGCUGUUGGUCCAGAAGAGGGCGUUUAACGGGGAGGAGGAUGGGCUGCUGAAGAGAUAGGAUGGAAUCACUGAAAGCCAUAGGCAGAUGCCCAAAGCCACCCCAGAGGGGACUGGUCAGGGAAGAAGCAAAGGAAAAAGUUCUUCUGAAAAUUGCUGGGAGGGACGCAUCUGAGCUGGAGGCUGGUUGUCUCAGCGAGCCAGCCAAAGGUUGGUCCAGCACGUGUGCACAGCCCCACUCCCCUCCUUCUUUCUCCCCAAGUGAUAAUCAGCUCUUUCGGUUGCCAACCCAACUUACCUUUUUCUUCUCUGAGCUGUGGAAAUUCAAGGAAUCUUAUCAGCCAACCCCUGUCCUGUGAUUAUGGCAUUACAUCCUUGUGUCCCACUGUUUUAAAAAACCUUUUCCAACAUCCCAUUCUCCCCUCACCCCCGACUCUAGUCCUAGGCAAUUCUCCACAGGAUAAAAUAUUCUAAAUAAUUUACAGUAUCAUAUUCCAAGCACUGAAUAGAUUUUUUCCACCAAAACUGAAAGCUAUUAUUUAAGUAACUGCUGGAUGUUGGAAUCUCAAACCACAUGGGACUGAGAGCCAAGGGUUCAAGAUUGUUAUGAUCUUCCUUUGUGCCCAAGUGCCACAGAACUCAGACAUCAAGGACUGAAGAAGGAAAACACUUUCUUUUCUUCCUUUUAUAGCAUAAACAUGGUCAAGGCUCACAAG